rnacentral:rRNA from 1 species
UACGAAGGGGGCAAGCGUUGUUCGGAUUUACUGGGCGUAAAGGGCGCGUAGGCGGAUUCGUAAGUCAGAGGUGAAAGCCCUGGGCUCAACCCGGGAAUGGCCUUUGAGACUGCAAGUCUUGAGUGCGAGAGAGGGUGGCGGAAUACCCAGUGUAGAGGUGAAAUUCGUAGAUAUUGGGUAGAACACCGGUGGCGAAGGCGGCCACCUGGCUCGCAACUGACGCUGAGGCGCGAAAGCGUGGGGAGCAAACAGG